rnacentral:rRNA from 1 species
CCUACGGGUGGCUGCAGUAGGGAAUAUUGCUCAAUGGGGGAAACCCUGAAGCAGCAACGCCGCGUGGAGGAUGAAGGCUUUCGGAUUGUAAACUCCUUUUGUUAGAGAAGAUAAUGACGGUAUCUAACGAAUAAGCACCGGCUAACUCCGUGCCAGCAGCCGCGGUAAUACGGAGGGUGCAAGCGUUACUCGGAUUCACUGGGCGUAAAGAGCGCGUAGGCGGGAUAGCAAGUCAGAUGUGAAAUCCUAUGGCUUAACCAUAGAACUGCAUUUGAAACUGGUAGUCUAGAGUAUGGGAGAGGUAGGUGGAAUUCUUGGUGUAGGGGUGAAAUGCGUAGAGAUCAAGAGGAAUACUCAUUGCGAAGGCGACCUACUAGAACAUAACUGACGCUGAGGCGCGAAAGCGUGGGGAGCAAACAGGAUUAGAUACCCGAGUAGUC